GAUGAACGCUGGCGGUGUGGAUAAGGCAUGCAAGUCGAACGAACCUUGUGGAAUUGAUCUCUUCGGAGUGAUUUUCCACGCUGGUUAGUGGCGAACGGGGUAGUAACGCGUAGGAACGUACCAAGAAGUCAGGAAUAGCCCAUCGAAAGAUGGAUUAAUACCUGAUAGUCCCUCCGGGGUAAAGAUUUAUCGCUUCUUGAUCGGCCUGCGUAGUAUCAGCUUGUUGGUAGUGUAAUGGACUACCAAGGCUAUGACGCUUAGGGGAGGUGAGAGCCUGACCCCCACCAUUGGAACUGCGACACGGUCCAA
rnacentral:rRNA from 1 species